CAUAACAGCUGUUGCCCUCAUAGAAGGGAACAUGGUAGUUGUGCCUUUGUCCAAGUUAUUGCAAUGGUAUGCAGAGAAUGAUUUACAAAUUGCAUGCUGAAGUGUCUUUGUAAUAACAGGUCAUGACACAACUUCCAACUCUCUCCCACUUGGACACCACAAGUCAAGUUUGCAACCAUUCAGCUUGGACCUUAUUUGGCAAGGCCGUCAAAGGUCCCAAAGAUGGGGGCAGGUGAAAUUGCAUGCAGGAUCCCAUCGCCGGCGAUGUGCAAUAUACCACAGAUAUCCCCUAUAGCAAAUGCAACUUUUGGAGUUGGGGCUUUUAAGCCUAUACCCAGGUUGUGGGCGCAGAAUGCACUGACAAGAAACAUAGAGUCCCCAACAAUGCUAAUUCCACUGGCAAGUUAAUUUUCUAAAUAUAACAACUUAUGCAGUUUCAUAUAUGAUGUUAAAAUCUAACUAGAGGGUAAUGAUGCCAACUUCAUGUGCAGGGCUACGAGAUGGAGUUUCGGCCGAGGAUCAGCAUGUCACUCUCAUACGACAAGACUGUCAUGGCAGCCUAUAGAUUCAAAAAGCCCAAGUCCAAAGAAGAUUAUGAAUGCCUCGAGGGAUGUUCUUGUCUCUAUGCCCUAGAUACAUUCCUCACACAGAUAUAGUGAACACCAUUGUGUGGCUUGCCUCACUCAGAGCACAUCGAACCAAAUCGGUGCGUGACUGAUUUUUGCCUUCCUCAUUUGCGAACCACAUCCUGCACCUGAAGCAGGUUGAGGCAAUCCUUCAGACUUAUCUCGGCCGGUGGAUGCCAGAAACAAAUGAAUUGGAGCAUGUAAGGACCAAUAAUUUUGAGAUAUG